UACGGGGGGGGGCAAGCGUUGUUCGGAAUCAUUGGGCGUAAAGCGCACGUAGGCGGUUCGUUAUGUCGGAUGUGAAAGCCCUUGGCUUAACCGAGGAAGUGCAUCCGAAACUGGCGAGCUAGAGUACUAAAGAGGAUCGCGGAAUUCCCCGGUGUAGAGGUGAAAUUCGUAGAUAUCGGGAGGAACACCGGUGGCGAAGGCGGCGAUCUGGGUAGAUACUGACGCUGAGGUGCGAAAGCGUGGGGAGCAAACAGG
rnacentral:rRNA from 1 species